GACGAACCGUCCUAACGUUGUUCGGAAUCACUGGGCUUAAAGGGCGCGUAGGCGGGUUCCCAAGUCGGUGGUGAAAUCUUUGGGCCCAACCGGAAAACAGCCGCCGAUACUGGGAGUCUUGAGGGAGGUAGGGGUCGAUGGAACUUCCGGUGGAGCGGUGAAAUGCGUAGAUAUCGGAAGGAACGCCGGUGGCGAAAGCGAUCGACUGGACCUUUUCUGACGCUGAGGCGCGAAAGCCAGGGGAGCAAACGGG
rnacentral:rRNA from 1 species